rnacentral:lncRNA from 1 species
AUGGUCCCCGACAGGGAGAAUUUAUACAGAAGCAAUCUCCGUAAGAGUAAACUUUUCAAACACAAAAUAAAAGAUGUUUCUCUGUCUUGCUGUGGUCAAAUUUUUACAAGACCCAGAAAAAAGAAUAUGUUUUUGCCACUUCAGAAGUCGCAAUUCUGGGUUAUUAAGGAAUUGAUUCUUGCCCAAGAAAUCACAAGUCCUUGUGAUUGCCGAAAAUGUCAUCCAAUGCCACCCUCAGCUGUGCCUCAGAGCUUCAAUUGA